rnacentral:rRNA from 1 species
GGCUGGCGCUGCUAUACAUGCAAGUCGAGCGAACUGAUUAGAAGCUUGCUUCUAUGACGUUAGCGGCGGACGGGUGAGUAACACGUGGGCAACCUGCCUGUAAGACUGGGAUAACUUCGGGAAACCGAAGCUAAUACCGGAUAGGAUCUUCUCCUUCAUGGGAGAUGAUUGAAAGAUGGUUUCGGCUAUCACUUACAGAUGGGCCCGCGGUGCAUUAGCUAGUUGGUGAGGUAACGGCUCACCAAGGCAACGAUGCAUAGCCGACCUGAGAGGGUGAUCGGCCACACUGGGACUGAGACACGGCCCAGACUCCUACGGGAGGCAGCAGUAGGGAAUCUUCCGCAAUGGACGAAAGUCUGACGGAGCAACGCCGCGUGAGUGAUGAAGGCUUUCGGGUCGUAAAACUCUGUUGUUAGGGAAGAACAAGUACGAUGGUAACUGCUCGUACCUUGACGGUACCUAACCAGAAAGGCGCGGCGAACUACGUGCCAGCUGCCGAGGUACUACGCAGGUUG